CAUAAACACAGAGGAAGAGAGAGGUUAGAGGGAACAUAAACACAGAGGAAGAGAGAGGUUAGAGGGAACAUAAACACAGAGGAAGAGAGAGGUUAGAGGGAACAUAAACACAGAGGAAGAGAGAGGUUAGAGGGAACAUAAACACAGAGGAAGAGAGAGGUUAGAGGGUAGAGGGAACAUAAACACAGAGGAAGAGAGAGGUUAGAGGGAACAUAAACACAGAGGAAGAGAGAGGUUAGAGGGAACAUAAACACAGAGGAAGAGAGAGGUUAGAGGGAACAUAAACACAGAGGAAGAGAGAGGUUAGAGGGUAGAGGGAACAUUAACACAGAGGAAGAGAGAGGGUAGAGGGAACAUAAACACAGAGGAAGAGAGUGGUUAGAGGGAACAUAAACACAGAGGAAGAGAGAGGUUAGAGGGAACAUAAACACAGAGGAAGAGAGAGGUUAGAGGGAACAUAAACACAGAGGAAGAGAGAGGUUAGAGGGAACAUAAACACAGAGGAAGAGAGAGGUUAGAGGGAACAUAAACACAGAGGAAGAGAGAGGUUAGAGGGAACAUAAACACAGAGGAAGAGAGAGGUUAGAGGGUAGAGGGAACAUUAACACAGAGGAAGAGAGAGGUUAGAGGGAACAUAAACACAGAGGAAGAGAGAGAUUAGAGGGUAGAGGGAACAUAAACACAGAGGAAGAGAGUGGUUAGAGGGAACAUAAACACAGAGGAAGAGAGAGGUUAGAGGGAACAUAAACACAGAGGAAGAGAGAGGUUAGAGGGAACAUAAACACAGAGGAAGAGAGAGGUUAGAGGGAACAUAAACACAGAGGAAGAGAGAGGUUAGAGGGUAGAGGGAACAUUAACACAGAGGAAGAGAGAGGUUAGAGGGAACAUAAACACAGAGGAAGAGAGAGAUUAGAGGGUAGAGGGAACAUAAACACAGAGGAAGAGAGAGGUUAGAGGGUAGAGGGAACAUAAACACAGAGGAAGAGAGAGGUUAGAGGGUAGAGGGAACAUAAACACAGAGGAAGAGAGAGGUUAGAGGGAACAUAAACACAGAGGAAGAGAGAGGUUAGAGGGAACAUAAACACAGAGGAAGAGAGAGGUUAGAGGGUAGAGGGAACAUAAACACAGAGGAAGAGAGAGGUUAGAGGGAACAUAAACACAGAGGAAGAGAGAGGUUAGAGGGUAGAGGGAACAUAAACACAGAGGAAGAGAGAGGUUAGAGGGAACAUAAACACAGAGGAAGAGAGAGGUUAGAGG